UGGUGUUGGAACCCUCAAGGCUACCGAUGC
rnacentral:piRNA from 1 species